GCUGACUCUCUUUUCAGACUCAGCCCACUUGCACCCAAGUGAAUUAACAGCCUUGUUGCUCACACAAAGCCUGUUUAGGUGGUCUUCUAUACGGACAUGCUUGACACUUGGUGCCAAAAUCUGGGCCAGGGGGACUCCUUCGUGAGACCGGCCCCCUGUCCUGGCCCUCAUUCCGUGAAGAGAUCCACCUGCGACCUCGGGUCCUCAGACCAGCCCAAGGAACAUCUCACCAAUUUCAAAUCGGAUCUCCUCGGCUUAGUGGCUGAAGACUGAUGCUGCCCGAUCGCCUCAGAAGCCCCUUGGACCAUCACAGAUGCCGAGCUUCGGGUAACUCUUACGGUGGAGGAUUCCCAGCCAUAUGAAGACACCCUAGCUGGACGAUCAGUCCUUGUCAAAAGUCUGACCCCUCAAACUCUACAGCCUCAAUGGACCAGACCCUACCCGGUCAUUUAUAGCACACCAACUGCCGUCCAUCUGCAGGACCCUCUCCAUUGGGUUCACCAUUCCAGAAUAAAGCCAUGCCCAUCAGACAGCCAGCUUGAUCUCUCCUCUUCCUCCUGGAAGCCACAAGAUUAGGCCGAGAGCCGAUCAGACAAACAACCUACAACCCUUAAGCUCCUGGCAGCGCCCAGCCAAGGCCAUGCUUCCUUGCAACACUCCUUCCAAAUGGCCAUCCCAGCAUGCUUCCAAGCAGGCUUCAUCCGUUCCUCUGGACCCUCAUCUCUUAAGACCUGCCGCCUAUAAAAAGGAUUAUAUCUUGAGACCCUAUCCUCUAAAAUUUUUUCCACACCCAAAACAAAAAAUCUCUGGGUCAAAAGUCUAAAACGCUUAGGCUGGCAACCAUCAGAUCCUUGCCCAUGGUGUCCUCAAGCCUACUCUCAUGAAAUGGACAACAGUACACGCAUAUGGGGCCAGUUCCACAUAUUUGGCAACCAGACCAGCAUCCAGGACAACACAAAGAUCUGCAAUCAGAACUAUUGAACUUCUCCAUUCAGACCGCCACUCACACCUAUGGGAAAAGGGUGUCCACGCAGUCCCUGGUCACACUUGAAGCAGUCCGGAGAAAUAUCAGCCCUACCCCAGUAAUCCCCAGAAGGAACUUACACUUUUUUUUAAUCUUUUCCUACAACUUCAUAUUUUAUAAAUAAAAAGACAAAAAUGUCAGGCCUGUGAGCUGAAGCUUAGCCAUUGUAACCCCUGUGACCUGCACAUAUCCGUCCAGGUGGCCUGCAGGAGCCAAGAAGUCUGGAGCAGCCGAAAAACCACAAAGAAGUGAAACAGCCAGUUCCUGCCUUAACUAAUUAACCCACCUUACGACAUUCCACCAUUAUGACUUGUCCACCAUUAUGACUUGUUCCUGCCCUGCCCCAACUGAUCAAUCAACCCUGUGACAUUCUUCUCCUGGACAAUGAGUCCCAUCAUCUCUCCACCAUGCACCUUGUGACCCCCUCCUCUGCUGAGGAUAACCACCUUUAACUGUAACUUUCCACGCCUACCCAAGCCCUAUAAAGCUGCCCCUCUCCUAUCUCCCUUCACUGACUCUCUUUUCGGACUCAGCCCACUUGCACCCAAGUGAAUUAACAGCCUUGUUGCUCACACAAAGCCUGAUUGGGUGUCUUCUAUACGGACACGCGUGACAGGAACCUCAACCCAAAGGCAGUCUGAUGAGGUGUCUAAGAUAAAAGUAGCGGCACAAAGGCUUUUGUAAACAGAGGCGUUUCAUGUGGUUUUCCUUUCCUUUCCUUAUAUGUGAAAAGGUGACAGAAAAGAAAUCUUCCUAAAAGAGUCA
ensembl:lncRNA UCA1 urothelial cancer associated 1